ensembl:lncRNA
UGCUAUAAACUUGAAACACAGGAGAGCAUUCAAGACCAUUAAGUCCAUUCCUGUUCUGCUCAGCACUUUCAUGUGAAGGCACAUGCUAGCUUCCUCGACUGCAAUGCAAUCCAAAUGCAGGCUUAAAGAUCCGACAAUGCAAGUGUUGCAUCGAACUAUGAACUUGUGGAUUUUUCUUCUGGGCUCAGCUGCUCAUCUCACUUCAAUCCCUUCAGCAAAAACUGAAAUCUUGGAUUGCAGACCACAACUCGUUAGUCAUUUCUUGUGGCUCAAUAUCACCUUCAGCAUGAUCCAAACCACAAAUCAUAUCAGACGUACUUGUGAAUGUGCAGAAGAACUGGACACCACAUGCUACACAGAUAUGAUGCUUCUUGGAAAAUGCAGCAAUGCUCCUUGGACUCGCGCGUGGCUGCACUGCAGUCCUGCAGGACAGAAAACCUGCUCUUGCCAGCACAGCGCUCACAUACAGCACGCUUACAUAGGCUGUUAUAUUCCUAGGGAAGAGUGAGCCUUGUCGACAAGAUGCAUGUCAUUUCUGGACUGAAAAUCAGCAACAGGAAAAUCCCUUGGCAGCUGGAAACCCCCAGGCAACUCGAGAUCACAUGCGUGCAGCCUUCCAGCAAUUCUGAAAGAAACUAAGGAGAAAAGAAAACUGUGCUGGUCAGAGUAAGGCUAGAGCUGGGCUGCUCAGAGCUGACCCAGCUGCUUUUCUUCUCAAGGCAAGACUUUGGUCUUUGGAAAUGGGUGUUACCGUAGAUCAACAAACAGAACCGACAAAAGGUUGAGCAUGCGUUAGGGUAAGGAUAAUAACAAACACACCAAGAAACCCAAGAACAAAUUAAGCCAAUAGAAACAAGCAAAGCAAAAAUAUGUAGAUCUAUAUACAGUCAGUCUGGGGAAAGAUAAUAUUUACAACAGAUGUUCAGUUUCUUUUCUUCAAUUCCAAAUUUCAGGAAACAAGCACUACUUUGGCAGUGUUACUGUGCAUGUUCAGUGCAAGGUGUUUAGAAUGUAUGCACUUUGGAAAGUUGCCAUUCAUGUUGUGAUGGGGAAGAAAAAAAAAACACAAAACCAUAUGUAAGAGGAAGACCUUGAAAUUGGCUCUGUUUAUCCAUCUCUACAUGGCACUGCCACUAGUACACUUCUUCAGCCUGGGUGCAUUGACAUCCACAGUCAGGGACAUUGAGCAGCAGGGGACAGAGGAAGCAGCUGAGCCACGAGGAGACAAAUUCAGAGCAGAUCUCAGGUUGCAGGGGAGAUUGUGUCAGGAACAGGGAUUUUGCAUUCUAGGAAGGAAGUUUUGUUCUGUCAGGAGACUUCUACGUUAUGAUCCAGAAAUGGGAUGCUAGGCAUACGAGGUUUAGUUGUUGUAUUACAGCCCAAAAAUGUGAUGUACAAUGCAAAUUUCAGAGAACUAUGUCCCUCGUUCUUAUUGGACAGCUCCGAUAAAAGUGUGAACGAAGAAUGCCAUGUAUCUUCCCUGUUUUAAUAUACAGUAUAAAGAAAUAGCUCUAGAGCUCAGGACACAAAUGGAGCUUUAGAUUAGCUGUCAACAAUGUCAUAUCCAUGUUAAUAAUGUCCAAUUCAUGCCUGGGGCUGACACUCUUUCUUAGUUUUAUUCACAAAUUCCAUUUAAUAACAGCAAUAAGUCACUCUAGACAGUGCAUUUCUAAGGGAUUUUUGCACUUCUCAGGUGGCUAAAGUCACUUGACCUUUGGCCUCAUGCCUUAAAAACUCCCUAAGAGAUGUGCUAAAUUGCCCAGAAAUACAUUGCCUGUCAUGUCUUGUUGCUUAAUUAAGGGCCAACCUAGAUGGCCUAUAAGGACUGCCCUUAAGUAAUUACUAAUUGAUUUCCUACUCAAGAAAAAUGAAUAAAUUCCACAGCAGGCACA